rnacentral:tRNA from 1 species
UCCCUUGUAGCUCAGUCGGUAAAGAGUCUGCCUGCAAUGCAGGAGACCCAGGUUCAAUCUCUGGGUUGGGAA